rnacentral:siRNA from 1 species
GGGCUUUUGAUACGCUUG